GGCUUUGUUUUGAUGGACAAUACAUCUACCUGGAUAUUCUUGUCCCCCAAGACCUGAACUACCCAGAGGAAAGAGCUGGAGAACAGAGGCAUUCAUUCUACCUGCUGCCGCUCACUAACCCCAGGCUCAGAGGAAUCCGCUGGACAUCCGUGGCUACUGUCUGCACUGCACCAAAUCCGAACGCUCCAAGCCAUGGAUUCCCAAAACUGCAGCUGCCCUACGGGAGGCCCUUGCACCUGUUCUGGCAAUUGCAAAUGCAAAGAGUGUAAAUGCAGUUCCUGCCAGAAAGGAGGCUGCUGUACUUCCUGCCCUCCUGAGUGCCCCAAGUGUUCCAAGGAGUGUGCCGGCAAAGGGAAUGACAAGGGUGGCUGCUGCCAUUGAGGGUGCUGCAGGCUUCUUGAAAAUAUAACCAUCCUUUCUUAAAGGCAUGAGCUGUGUGCAUCGUCUACCAUAAAAAUGUGCUCAUGUGUUUUCAAAUGAAAAUAAACUCAGUGAACAAUGUAAA